UAUUCACCCUUGUCUUUUGCGUACUUCUUGUUUCCUUGGUGGGUUCGCCCACCACUAGGACAAACAUAAACCUUUUGUAAUUGCAAUCAGCGUCAGUAACAAAUUAAUAAUUACAACUUUCAACAACGGAUCUCUUGGUUCUGGCAUCGAUGAAGAACGCAGCGAAAUGCGAUAAGUAGUGUGAAUUGCAGAAUUCAGUGAAUCAUCGAAUCUUUGAACGCACAUUGCGCCCUUUGGUAUUCCAAAGGGCAUGCCUGUUCGAGCGUCAUUUGUACCCUCAAGCUUUGCUUGGUGUUGGGCGUCUUGUCUCUAGCUUUGCUGGAGACUCGCCUUAAAGUAAUUGGCAGCCGGCCUACUGGUUCAGCACAAGUCGCACUCUCUAUCAGCAAAGGUCUAGCAUCCAUUAAGCCUUUUUUUCAACUUUUGACCUCGGAUCAGGUAGGGAU
rnacentral:rRNA from 1 species